rnacentral:rRNA from 1 species
CCUACGGGAGGCAGCAGUGAGGAAUAUUGGUCAAUGGGCGAGAGCCUGAACCAGCCAAGUCGCGUGAGGGAGUACUGCCCUAUGGGUUGUAAACCUCUUUUUUCUGGGCGAAAAAGCCGGACGUGUCCGGCUGUGAGAGUACCCGACGAAAAAGCAUCGGCUAAAUCCGUGCCAUCAGCCGCGGUACUACGGAGGAUGCGAGCGUUAUCCAGAUCUAUUGGGUUUAAAGGGGGCGCAGGCGGAUUUUUAAGUCAGCGGUCAAAUCGUGGGGCUCAACCCCAUCCAGCCGUUGAAACUGGGGAUCUAGAGUGUGCGAGAGGUAUGCGGAAUGCGUGGUGUAGCGGUGAAAUGUAUAGAUAUCACGCAGAACCCCGAUUGCGAAGGCAGCAUACCGGUGCACAACUGACGCUCAGGCACGAAAGCGUGGGUAUCGAACAGGAUUAGAUACCCGGGUAGUC